rnacentral:rRNA from 1 species
UGGGGAAUAUUGGACAAUGGGCGCAAGCCUGAUGCAGCCAUGCCGCGUGUAUGAAGAAGGCCUUCGGGUUGUAAAGUACUUUCAGCGGGGAGGAAGGUGUUGAGGUUAAUAACCUCAGCAAUUGACGUUACCCGCAGAAGAAGCACCGGCUAACUCCGUGCCAGCAGCCGCGGUAAUACGGAGGGUGCAAGCGUUAAUCGGAAUUACUGGGCGUAAAGCGCACGCAGGCGGUCUGUCAAGUCGGAUGUGAAAUCCCCGGGCUCAACCUGGGAACUGCAUUCGAAACUGGCAGGCUAGAGUCUUGUAGAGGGGGGUAGAAUUCCAGGUGUAGCGGUGAAAUGCGUAGAGAUCUGGAGGAAUACCGGUGGCGAAGGCGGCCCCCUGGACAAAGACUGACGCUCAGGUGCGAAAGCGUGGGGAGCAAACA